rnacentral:rRNA from 1 species
GUGGGGAAUUUUGGACAAUGGGCGCAAGCCUGAUCCAGCAAUGCCGCGUGCAGGAAGAAGGCCUUCGGGUUGUAAACUGCUUUUGUACGGAACGAAACGGUCCGGGUUAAUACCCUGGGCUAAUGACGGUACCGUAAGAAUAAGCACCGGCUAACUACGUGCCAGCAGCCGCGGUAAUACGUAGGGUGCAAGCGUUAAUCGGAAUUACUGGGCGUAAAGCGUGCGCAGGCGGUUUUGUAAGACAGGCGUGAAAUCCCCGGGCUAGACCUGGGAAUUGCGCUUGUGACUGCAAGGCUGGAGUGCGGCAGAGGGGGAUGGAAUUCCGCGUGUAGCAGUGAAAUGCGUAGAUAUGCGGAGGAACACCGAUGGCGAAGGCAAUCCCCUGGGCCUGCACUGACGCUCAUGCACGAAAGCGUGGGGAGCAAACAGGAUUAGAAACCCCAGUAGUCC